ACGAACGCUGGCGGCGUGCUUAACACAUGCAAGUCGAACGGAUCCAGUAGCAAUAUUGGGUUAGUGGCGAACGGGUGAGUAACACGUGACCAAUCUGCCCCGAACUGGGGAAUAACGUCGGGAAACUGACGCUAAUACCGCAUAUUGAGACGGGUCCACAUGGAUUUGUCUUGAAAGCUUCGGCGGUUCGGGAUGAGGUCGCGCCCCAUUAGCUUGUUGGCGGGGUAAUGGCCCACCAAGGCGACGAUGGGUAGCUGGUCUGAGAGGACGAUCAGCCACACUGGGACUGAGAUACGGCCCAGACUCCUAUGGGAGGCAGCAGUGAGGAAUAUUGCGCAAUGGGCGAAAGCCUGACGCAGCAACGCCGCGUGAAGGAUGAAGGUGGUUUCCAUUGUAAACUUCUGUAGGGGGGGACGAAUAACCCGGUAUUGCCGGGUAUGACGGUACCCCCAAAGUAAGCACCGGCUAACUCCGU
rnacentral:rRNA from 1 species